UACAGAGGUCCCAAGCGUUGUUCGGAUUCACUGGGCGUAAAGGGUGCGUAGGUGGUCGGGUAAGUCUGAGGUGAAAUCUCCGAGCUUAACUCGGAAACUGCCUUGGAUACUAUUCGGCUCAAGGGUUAGAGGGGGGACUGGAAUUCUCGGUGUAGCAGUGAAAUGCGUAGAUAUCGAGAGGAACACCAGUGGCGAAGGCGAGUCCCUGGACAACUCCUGACGCUGAGGCACGAAAGCUAGGGGAGCAAACAGG
rnacentral:rRNA from 1 species